UACGUAGGGUGCAAGCGUUGUCCGGAAUUAUUGGGCGUAAAGAGCUCGUAGGCGGCUGCUCAAGUCGAAUGUGAAAACUCGAGGCUCAACCUCGAGCCUGCAUUCGAUACUGGGCGGCUAGAGUCUGGUAGGGGGAUCUGGAAUUCCUGGUGUAGCGGUGGAAUGCGCAGAUAUCUGGAGGAACACCGGUGGCGAAGGCGGCAUCCUGGACCAACACUGACGCUGAGGAGCGAAAGCCAGGGGAGCAAACGGG
rnacentral:rRNA from 1 species